AGAUGUUGAUUGAUAUGACCAAAAUAAGUGUAUGUAUGCAAAAAAAAAAAAAAUUGUAUGUUUUUAGUCCAUGCCAAACGUCUACUUAGCUACUAAAAAAAUUUAGUCGCCUUUAACUGACUUUUACUGACAAAAUUGUUUAGUCGGCAAUUGUAAUUAAAAUUUUGGAGGGAGGAUUUGAAUUUUUAGAGGGUUCCUAAAUUAAUUGGUGACGGAACUAUGUUUUGGUAGGGAAAAGGUUACUUUACUUGUUUUUGGCGACCAAAGCUAUUAGUCAGGGAAUUUUUUUUUUUUUUGCACAACGUCACCGUUUUAUUUUAGGCUAACUUAUCUUGGUAGGCUGGUGUGUCUCUAUGAUCACUGUGAAUCUCUCUCUCUCACUCCUCUCCUCCUUCCAGGAUCGCUCUCGCACCGUCAUCACAUCGUCGCACCGUCGUACCUCCGUCGAUCCACCAUUGGAGCAUUAUCCCAGAAAUCCCAACAAACAGAGCUAUGUUGUUUCUAAUGAUAGCUUUUUCUGUUCUUCCAACGAUCUCAUUCAAGCAAUGUGUACAAUGUUUAUAAGGGUGUUCAAGCAAGGAAAGGAAGCAUGUUUCUGGCAUUUGGGUUCCUUGUGGCCAUAUGACUGAUGAGUUGAGGAAUUUUUUGGAGCUAACUCUCCCAAAAGUUAAGGAUAGAAAGAAGCCUAAAUUCACAACUAACCUAAAGAGCCUCAAGGAGAUUACAUAGAGCUUCACAAGAAGAGACAUGGCUAUCGCCAUGAUCACUUCAAGCGCAAACACAAGAAAGAGGCUUGCAAGGUUCACAAGCGAUCUUAGCUUGCUCAGAAGAAAGAUCUUGAUAUAUAUGAAAUGAACGUUUGUGCUUUUAUGGCUGAUGAAUCCAGUGGGCAAGAUCCAAGCAUACAUAGCAGCUACCUUGGUGUUAUUGAGAUGAUGGAUGAAUUCGUGCACAAAGCUGAAUUGUACAGGACUAGUUGGCACUUGUUAUAUUUUUUGAAGGAUUAUGUAUUUUUGGAUAGAUGUGUAUGGAAAAUAUUUGGAUAGACUACUAGUUAUAUUUUUGGAUGAUUAUAUAGAUUACAUGACUUUUAAUUGGACGAUUAUGUAGUUUGGAAUUACUUGUGGAUGAAAACUUAUAAUAGUUGAUGACUUCAAUUAAACAUGUUAAGGAUUUGAUGAUUUAUGUAUUUUGUUGGAUGUUCGUGGUUC